GAUGAACGCUAGCGCCAGUCUUAACACAUGCAAGUCGAGGGGCAGCGGGGAGUAGCAAUACUUCGCCGGCGACCGGCGCACGGGUGAGUAACACGUGUGCAACCAACCCCGUACCGGGAGAUAACCCGCGGAAACGUGGACUAACAUCCCAUGACACUCGAGAGCCGCAUGGCUCUAGAUUUAAAAUUCCGGUGGUACGGGACGGGCACGCGCGACAUUAGGUAGUUGGCGGGGUAACGGCCCACCAAGCCGACGAUGUCUAGGGGUUCUGAGAGGAAGGUCCCCCACACUGGAACUGAGACACGGUCCAGACUCCUACGGGAGGCAGCAGUGAGGAAUAUUGGUCAAUGGGCGAGAGCCUGAACCAGCCAAGUCGCGUGAGGGAAGAAUGGUCUAUGGCCUGUAAACCUCUUUUGUCAGGGAAGAAUAAGGAUGACGAGUCAUUCGAUGCCAGUACUUGACGAAUAAGCAUCGGCUAACUCCGUGCCAGCAGCCGCGGUAAUACGGGGGAUGCGAGCGUUAUCCGGAUUUAUUGGGUUUAAAGGGCGCGUAGGCGGGACGUCAAGUCAGCGGUAAAAGACUGCAGCUAAACUGUAGCACGCCGUUGAAACUGGCGCCCUGGAGACGAGACGAGGGAGGCGGAACAAGUGAAGUAGCGGUGAAAUGCAUAGAUAUCACUUGGAACCCCGAUAGCGAAGGCAGCUUCCCAGGCUCGUUCUGACGCUGAUGCGCGAGAGCGUGGGUAGCGAACAGG
rnacentral:rRNA from 1 species